UAUGCUCCACCCGUCGUCGGUUCCCGUAAGGGACGAAGAGGGAAUACGGUGCGGGCUUUUCGCCCAAUUCCGUUGCUGCCCCCGCAACUGUAAGCGGCGAGCUCGUUUCGAAUGCCACUGAGGCCGUUGCCUCGGGAAGGCGGAACACCAGAGCACCGACCCGCGAGCCAGGAGACCUGCCGUCGACAAUGACAACUC
rnacentral:ncRNA from 2 species